CAGAGUAUUAUGAAAGAGAAAGUGAGUGAGAGAGAGAGAGAUUAUACUAACAAGGCAAGGAAAAGGGCAAGAUUUCUUCAACGAGUCUUGUGAUUUGCAUCACCAACACCAAUUCCAACGCCAAAACCAACGAAUGGAAUCGUUUUUCUUAACCGAAACCUUUCCCCACAACUAUUACACCACCACCACUUCUCUCCAUCUACUGUUAUUAUUAUUAUGCUUCUUCCUAAUCUUUUCCCCCACUUCUCUCCCCUCUUUUCUCUCCCUUUCUUCAUCUUCUCCACUCUUUCUUCUUACUAAUAAUCGCUCUUUCAGAUCUGCUGCUACUUCUGUGAGAUUUCCAGUUUUUGAGGAAUAUGUUUGGAGAAGGAAGUAAAAGCAACAAUUUGUUUCCAGCGUUAUUAGAGGGGAAUUGUUUCCAGUACGAUGCGAGUGCAUUGCCUCAGCUGCAACUGUUUGGUGAUUGUGAGUUUCCCAAUUGCUUCUCCCCGAGAAUUUUACAUCCAGCAGUCUCCAUUAAGAAUUCUUAUAUUGCAAUAUACUAAGUACUCACUAAUUUGAUUCAUGAUUUUCGUUUUUUA